UACGGAGGAUCCGAGCGUUAUCCGGAUUCAUUGGGCGUAAAGAGCGUGUAGGCGGCCAGGUAGGUCGGUUGUGAAAACUGGAGGCUCAACCUUCAGAGGUCGACCGAAACCAUCUGGCUAGAGUCCGGGAGAGGAGAGUGGAAUUCCUGGUGUAGCGGUGAAAUGCGCAGAUAUCAGGAAGAACACCCGUGGCGAAAGCGGCUCUCUGGAACGGUACUGACGCUGAGACGCGAAAGCGUGGGGAGCGAACAGG
rnacentral:rRNA from 1 species